rnacentral:rRNA from 1 species
UCAAGUGACUAAGCGUACACGGUGGAUGCCUUGGCAGUCAGAGGCGAUGAAGGACGUGGUAAUCUGCGAUAAGCUUUGGGGAGCCGAUAAACAGGCCUUGAUCCAGAGAUUUCCGAAUGGGGAAACCCAACCGCAUAAGCGGUUAUUCUUUAGCUGAAUACAUAGGCUUUAGAAGGCGAACCCGGGGAACUGAAACAUCUAAGUACCCGGAGGAAAAGAAAUCAAUUGAGAUUCCCCUAGUAGCGGCGAGCGAACGGGGAUUAGCCCUUAAGCAAUUURKGWGUUAGYGGAASRCUCUGGAAAGUGYSGCCAUAGWGGGUGAWAGCCCCGUACRCGAAARYKMMYYUAUUGUGAAAUCGAGUAGGUCGGGACACGAGAAAUCCUGACUGAACUGUCUUCGGACGAGGGGGGACCAUCCUCCAAGGCUAAAUACUCCUGACUGACCGAUAGUGAACUAGUACCGUGAGGGAAAGGCGAAAAGAACCCCGUUGAGGGGAGUGAAAUAGAACCUGAAUCCGUGUACGUACAAGCAGUGGGAGCAAGCACUCUUUAUUUAUAAAGCACGUCUUGUGACUGCGUACCUUUUGUAUAAUGGGUCAGCGACUUAAUUUCAGUGGCAAGGUUAACCGUAUAGGGGAGCCGUAGGGAAACCGAGUCUUAAUAGGGCGUCGAGUCGCUGGGAUUAGACCCGAAACCGGGCGAUCUAUCCAUGGGCAGGUUGAAGAUUGAGUAACAUCAAUUGGAGGACCGAACCGACUAUCGUUGAAAAGCUAGCGGAUGACUUGUGGAUAGGAGUGAAAGGCUAAUCAAGCCCGGAGAUAGCUGGUUCUCCUCGAAAGCUAUUUAGGUAGCGCCUCGUGUAUCACCAUUGGGGGUAGAGCACUGUUUGGGCUAGGGGGUCAUCCCGACUUACCAACCCCAUGCAAACUCCGAAUACCAAUGAGUGCAAUCACGGGAGACACACGGCGGGUGCUAACGUCCGUCGUGGAAAGGGAAACAACCCAGACCGUCAGCUAAGGUCCCAAAGUUCUAGUUAAGUGGGAAACGAUGUGAGAAGGCCCAGACAGCCAGGAGGUUGGCUUAGAAGCAGCCACCCUUUAAAGAAAGCGUAAUAGCUCACUGGUCGAGUCGGCUCGCGCGGAAGAUUUAACGGGGCUCAAACUAGACACCGAAGCUACGGGUUUCAGUGGUCAGUUUUCAGUUGUUAGUUAGCAGUUGUAAGUUUAAAAACUGCAAACACAGUAAAAUGUUGGUUGGUUUGCACAAGAGUUUCCAAUAACUCUGAGCAAAACUGACGACCAACAACUGAAAACUGACCAUUGAAGCGGUAGAGGAGCGUUCUGUAAGCCGUUGAAGGUGUAUCGGGAGGUAUGCUGGAGGUAUCAGAAGUGCGAAUGCUGACAUGAGUAACGACAAGGGGAGUGAGAAGCUCCCCCGCCGGAAGACCAAGGGUUCCUGCGCAACGUUAAUCGGCGCAGGGUGAGUCGGCCCCUAAGGUGAGGUCGAAAGACGUAAUCGAUGGGAAACAGGUCAAUAUUCCUGUACCCCUUUUGACUGCGACGGAGUGACGGAGAAGGCUAGGUCAGCGCGGCGUUGGUUGUCCGCGUUUAAGAUCGUAGGCUGGGGUUCCAGGCAAAUCCGGAACCUCAAGGCCGAGAAUUGAUGACGAGGYUCUACGGARCUGAAGUGAUUGAUGCCAUGCUUCCAGGAAAAACUUCUAAGCUUCAGGUCAAAAGGGACCGUACCCCAAACCGACACAGGUGGUCAGGUAGAGAAUACCAAGGCGCUUGAGAGAACUCGGGUGAAGGAACUAGGCAAAAUGGCACCGUAACUUCGGGAGAAGGUGCGCCGGCUUUGGUGAUCGGACUUGCUCCGUAAGCUGAGGCUGGUCGAAGAUACCAGGUGGCUGCGACUGUUUAUUAAAAACACAGCACUGUGCAAACACGAAAGUGGACGUAUACGGUGUGACGCCUGCCCGGUGCCGGAAGGUUAAUUGAUGGGGUUAUCUCACCUCCAGAUUGCUUUUGCUGCAAGGCAAAYGRYKGAGCGAGYGAAGGAGUUUACAUAAAAGUAAAUGACUGARYGWGCGRARWCRUUUAACGCAGACAGCGAGAGCAAUGUGGUGGUGAGAGAAGCUCUUGAUCGAAGCCCCGGUAAACGGCGGCCGUAACUAUAACGGUCCUAAGGUAGCGAAAUUCCUUGUCGGGUAAGUUCCGACCUGCACGAAUGGCGUAACGAUGGCCACGCUGUCUCCACCCGAGACUCAGUGAAAUUGAAAUCGCUGUUAAGAUGCAGCGUAUCCGCGGCUAGACGGAAAGACCCCGUGAACCUUUACUAUAGCUUCACAGUGGAUUUUGAUGUUGCUUGUGUAGGAUAGGUGGGAGGCUUUGAAGCGUGGACGCCAGUUCAUGUGGAGCCAACCUUGAAAUACCACCCUGGCAAUAUUGGAGUUCUAACCCAGGUCCUGAAACGGGAUCGGGGACAUUGUGUGGUGGGUAGUUUGACUGGGGCGGUCUCCUCCCAAAGAGUAACGGAGGAGCACGAAGGUUGGCUAAGUACGGUCGGACAUCGUACGGUUAGUGUAAUGGCACAAGCCAGCUUGACUGCGAGAGGUACAUCUCGAGCAGGUACGAAAGUAGGUCAUAGUGAUCCGGUGGUUCUGAAUGGAAGGGCCAUCGCUCAACGGAUAAAAGGUACUCCGGGGAUAACAGGCUGAUACCGCCCAAGAGUUCACAUCGACGGCGGUGUUUGGCACCUCGAUGUCGGCUCAUCACAUCCUGGGGCUGAAGCCGGUCCCAAGGGUAUGGCUGUUCGCCAUUUAAAGUGGUACGCGAGCUGGGUUUAGAACGUCGUGAGACAGUUCGGUCCCUAUCUGCCGUGGACGUUGGAAGUUUGAGAAGAGCUGCUCCUAGUACGAGAGGACCGGAGUGGACGGACCACUGGUGUUCGGGUUGUGUCGCCAGACGCAUUGCCCGGUAGCUAUGUUCGGACGUGAUAACCGCUGAAAGCAUCUAAGCGGGAAGCCCCCUUCAAGAUGAGACUUCCCUGGGCACUAGAUGCCCCUGAAGAGCCGUUAAAGACUAUGACGUUGAUAGGUUGGGUGUGUAAGUGCUGUGAGGCAUUGAGCUAACCAAUACUAAUGACUCGUGCGGCUUGACCAU